UACGUAGGGGGCAAGCGUUGUCCGGAAUCAUUGGGCGUAAAGCGCGCGUAGGCGGCCCGGUAAGUCCGCUGUAAAAGUCCAGGGCUCAACCCUGGGAUGCCGGUGGAUACUGUCGGACUAGAGUACGGAAGAGGCGAGUGGAAUUCCCGGUGUAGCGGUGAAAUGCGCAGAUAUCGGGAGGAACACCAAUGGCGAAGGCAGCUCGCUGGGACGGUACUGACGCUGAGGCACGAAAGCGUGGGUAGCAAACAGG
rnacentral:rRNA from 1 species